AGUGAACGCUGGCGGUAGGCCUAACACAUGCCAGUCGAACGGCAGCACAGUAAGAGCUUGCUCUUACGGGUGGCGAGUGGCGGACGGGUGAGGAAUACAUCGGCAUCUACUUUUUCGUGGGGGAUAGCGUAGGGAAACUUACGCUAAUACCGCAUACGACCUACGGGUGAAAGCAGGGGAUCUUCGGACCUUGCGCGAUUGAAUGAGCCGAUGUCGGAUUAGCUAGUUGGCGGGGUAAAGGCCCACCAAGGCGACGAUCCGUAGCUGGUCUGAGAGGAUGAUCAGCCACACUGGAACUGAGACACGGUCCAGACUCCUACGGGAGGCAGCAGUGGGGAAUAUUGGACAAUGGGCGCAAGCCUGAUCCAGCCAUACCGCGUGGGUGAAGAAGGCCUUCGGGUUGUAAAGCCCUUUUGUUGGGAAAGAAAAGCAGCAGGUUAAUACCCCGCUGUUCUGACGGUACCCAAAGAAUAAGCACCGGCUAACUUCGUG
rnacentral:rRNA from 1 species